GAAGCAGUAAGGCACUUAUAUAAGAAAAUGUUUUUCUUCACUGAAACCCCAGCUUAUAGACGAGAAAUCAUUUAUUUUAUGAACUUGCAACUACUCACGUUUAGGUCCUGGGUCUAAACAAGUAUAGGCACAUGAAUUUGCCUCAUGGUAAAAUCUCACUAUUUAGGGUACCCCAGUUUUAACUCAGUCUUUGGCUACCUUUCUUAAAGUUUUGAAGCCACCUCCCUACGGUUCUAAUUUUAAGAAAAUCUGCACUCAUUGACUCUAAACUUCACAUCAUCUUGAAAAGAAAAAAAAACAAACAAAAAACUCGGUGAGUAUGUGCUGUCAGCAUGAGUUACAGAUGCCUACUGUUUCAGUUUCUGGAUAAAGAGGUGACUGCAGUUCAGUGACAUAGAGCUACAAAGAAA